rnacentral:rRNA from 1 species
GACGAACGCUGGCGGCGUGCUUAACACAUGCAAGUCGAACGGAAAGGCCCUGCUUUUGUGGGGUGCUCGAGUGGCGAACGGGUGAGUAACACGUGAGUAACCUGCCCUUGACUUUGGGAUAACUUCAGGAAACUGGGGCUAAUACCGGAUAGGAGCUCCUGCUGCAUGGUGGGGGUUGGAAAGUUUCGGCGGUUGGGGAUGGACUCGCGGCUUAUCAGCUUGUUGGUGGGGUAGUGGCUUACCAAGGCUUUGACGGGUAGCCGGCCUGAGAGGGUGACCGGCCACAUUGGGACUGAGAUACGGCCCAGACUCCUACGGGAGGCAGCAGUGGGGAAUAUUGCACAAUGGGCGGAAGCCUGGUGCAGCAACGCCGCGUGCGGGAUGACGGCCUUCGGGUUGUAAACGGCUUUCGCCUGUGACGAAGCGUGAGUGACGGUAAUGGGUAAAGAAGCACCGGCUAACUACGU